UAGGGAAUCUUCGGCAAUGGGGGCAACCCUGACCGAGCAACGCCGCGUGAGUGAAGAAGGUUUUCGGAUCGUAAAGCUCUGUUGUAAGUCAAGAACGAGUGUGAGAGUGGAAAGUUCACACUGUGACGGUAGCUUACCAGAAAGGGACGGCUAACUACGUGCCAGCAGCCGCGGUAAUACGUAGGUCCCGAGCGUUGUCCGGAUUUAUUGGGCGUAAAGCGAGCGCAGGCGGUUUGAUAAGUCUGAAGUUAAAGGCUGUGGCUCAACCAUAGUUCGCUUUGGAAACUGUCAAACUUGAGUGCAGAAGGGGAGAGUGGAAUUCCAUGUGUAGCGGUGAAAUGCGUAGAUAUAUGGAGGAACACCGGUGGCGAAAGCGGCUCUCUGGUCUGUAACUGACGCUGAGGCUCGAAAGCGUGGGGAGCGAACAGGAUUAGAUACCCUGGUAGUCCACGCCGUAAACGAUGAGUGCUAGGUGUUGGAUCCUUUCCGGGAUUCAGUGCCGCAGCUAACGCAUUAAGCACUCCGCCUGGGGAGUACGACCGCAAGGCUG
rnacentral:rRNA from 1 species